AGAACCGGCCACGCCACCCUGAACACACCCGAUCCCGGCUGAUCUCGGAAGCUAAGCAGGGUCGGGCCUGGCUGGGAGACCACCCAGGAAGACCAGGUGCUGCAGGCU
rnacentral:rRNA from 1 species